rnacentral:lncRNA from 1 species
AUAUAUAUAUAUAUAUAUAUAUAUAGUAUUUUAUUUAUAUAUAGAAAUAUUAUUAUAUAAUAUUUUAUUUAUAAAUUUGUAAUUAUUUAUUAAUAUUUUUAAAUAUAUAACUCUUAUAUAUUAUUAGUAUAUGUUUAUUAUAAUUUUAAAUAUAUUUAAUCUAUAUAUAAAUAUUAUAAUAAUAAUAUAUAUAGUAUAAUAUCGAAUUUUUAAAAAGUAUAUAUAAAAAUUAUAUUUGAUCCCGAAUUUUUAAUUGGUGAACGUAUAAUACUCGUAUAAAUCACGUAUCCGAAUAACUACCGAAUCCAUUUUUUAGCCGUAUUUUUCAACGAAUUUAAAAAUUAAAAGACGAAUUUUAUCCGAAUUAUAUCCGUACCGAAUUUUUGCCGAAUCCGAAUUAACUAACUAUGCCUCCAGCCACCAAGGUUGGUUUAACUACAAUUGAUCUCAUCCGUUCAUCUGCUCGCUCCCGAUGUGCUUAAUUAAUUAAUUAAUAUUUGAAGGGCAAAUAAGAAAAGUAUUUGCUAUAUGAAGGGUAUAUAAGAAAAGUUAGUUACGGUAGAAGGGUAUAUAGGAAUGGGCAAAAUAUUAAUUUUUCAGAGAUAACGGCAACUCACUAACGGAACUUAACUCCAGGGAUAUAUUAGAAAGACUUGGAACAUAAGAAGGAUAUUUUCAAUAUUACCCUUUUAAGAGGGGUAAAUAAAAAAAUCGGGAACUUUUCAGGGGUAUACAGGCAAUUGCCCCCAAAAGCUAAAAGUUCAUAGGCCUCUCUAUGUACGCUUCACCCAGAAAAGGGAAAAUGUAUAGUACUAGAAAAAUGAGCAUAAAGCAUAUAUCUGCUUUCUCUUUCAUGCUAAGAGCUACUACCUAUUUGCACCAUCUAAAAAAACAAAAAACAGAUUUAAGAUAACAUACUUGCUCAACUUCUAAGGUUUCUUUAUAUGAACCGUAUACAGUAAGCAUUCAAUCUGACAAAGUUUCUCUACAAGUACAACUUCUAUUUGAUUAUACAGAGGCCAAAAAACAAAAAACAUGUUUUGAGCACAGCACAAUUCCGCUAAGAAAGUAACCGUCAAACUGCGUGAAAAUUUAACUUGAUCUACUACACAAGAUGGCAUCACAUUUUCUUAAACUACCAAAGAAACAUGAGUACCUAAUGAUUAGAGAGAGAGAAGAAGUCACACCUUGCAGAUCCUGAACAUCUCGAGCUCCAAUUGGCGUAGAGUACCUUGCAUCGACCGAAACACCAGCACUUCCAGAGUUCUGGUACCAUGAAAGAAGAUGCAACAAUUCAGUUUUCAAAUGAUGUUCAACUAUGUGUAAGUAUGUGAUAUUUGAUGUAAUAUUGCGAUGAUUAUUCAUGACCGAAUUCUCUGCUUAGAAACUACUGCACAUCAGGCCUAAGUUUUCAGGUACUUACUGGACUCAGCAGCUUUAGAUUGGAGAAUCUUAAGUUGUGCAGAAUCACUUUGCUACAAUAUAUUGAUGGCUAUGAACAUAAUGAACAAGAUACUGGAUCGCAACUAAUUCCUUCAACCAUCGGCUCAGGCUGAUAAAAACAGAGGUUUCACUGGCAUACCACAUGUUGGAGGUAAAUUAUAAUUUAGGCCUCACGAACACUAAUGGAGAUAUGAAAAAUUCAAACACAAACAAAAUUAAGCAGAGAGAUAGUUUAGAAGGACGCCAAUUUUGGAUUGCCUGGACUGUCGCAAGCAUUUGAAGCCUUGGUAGUUAAUUUUCGGUUCACAAGUGUAUUCAUGUAAAUCUUGGAGCUGUAAAUAAUUUUUUACAGUAGUAAAUUGACCUCAUCAAUAGGUUAAGCUAACCUGUUGCCAUUUUCAAAACGAAAAAAUUAAGAGAAAAAGAAAAAGAAAAAAAAAAACUAUAAUGGAGAUAUCAAUUUGAUCCCUCGACUCUUUGUUGGUAUAAAAAAUAACAUAACAAAAUAUACAAAGGAUUAAUUUUCACAAGUAGUAGAAAGCAAAGCAGAAGAAACUGAAGUGUGCAUUAGAUACCUCCAAAAGCUUUCGGAGAUUCACAUAUAGAAAUAAAGCAGGACUAAGUUGGCCUUAAUAAAUGGAUGAUCAUUUGCAUGUGUAAAUUGAUGACAAUGCCUUCCCUUUCUUUCAGGAAAAGAGACCUAUAAGCCUUUACAAUAUGAAGUAAAUGUAUGAAAGAAAGAAAAGAGGGAUAAGAGUGAACUACUUCAAGUGACAGAUGGAUCCACUUCUCUCAGUUACUGCCAGAUGAAUCCAAUAUUUUUGCUCCUUGUAUAUAGAAAUAUUUUAUAAAGGUAUACAAAAAAUGAGGUUGUUAUCUUCCCAACUGCCUCCAACCUGCACAAAAUAAAAGGAUCAUAGAAAUUACCAUUCCAUACUUUUCAAUAGUUCCAAUUCAAUACUCAUAUCAAUUUAUCAUUCCAUAAUAAAAGGAUGAAAUAUGAAGAUCAUUUCACUUAUCAUUUACCUACCAUGUAAUACUCAUUACUAUGAUGUGCAAUCUGUGCUUAGCAAUUUGAUUAUCAGUAAGAACCCAAACAGAGAAAUAUAUGUAUGAUACCACUUGAAAUAAUACAGGCAUUGUUCCAUGCAAUUAGGGCCUAUUUGGCGGGGCUUAAGCUUCUGCAAGAGAGUCAUAUUGAGCAAUUGGAAAAAGCAUUGACAGCUUUUUAAUUAAAAUCACCCCAACAACAUCCAAUUGCAGUAGAAGCAGACCUUUCAAUUGCAGUUUCUAUUUGUGAGUCCCAAAAGCUCAUUUCAGGUUAGCAGCCGCAAACGAACAAGAACUAUUCUUUGCUUAACCCUAAAUACUUCUCACAAGUAGAGCUGAUUCCAAAUCUCUGCGAAAAAGGCAAUUUGUCAUUUAAGCAUCUUUUCACUGGAUAAUCUCGUACCAAAGGUUUCCCUUGGCAAUUAGUCUGGGGAACGCUUUAAGGGCUGUUUGGUACUGAGGUCCAUCUAAUGCUAAUAGAUAAAAUGAAGUUGGGGCAAAAACAUAUAGGAAAAUGCUUCUGUGUUCUCCAGUAGGACUGCAGAAAAUAUAUUAUAACCAAUUCAUUGUGAUAUGUGGAACGUGAUAUUAUAUAUGGAAACAAAAAAGAUAUUUUCUCAUCGUACUUUUCCACUGCACAUAACGCAAUCGUCCCGUAAUCCCAAACAGAGCCCAAGUGUUUGUAAAAUGUAAAUGAACAUUUUUGGGGAAUCCGAGUACCAUACAUAAAUAUGAAAAUUAACAAUUUAAAUUCUAACAAAUAGCUUCAACAAAUAAAAAAUGAGCUAACCUAAUGCACAAUCAGUGAGAAGUGUUUUUUGUUUCGUUGUUUCCAAAAAAAACUCACCAUUUGUGAACAAGUAAGAGAAAAGAAGUUCAUUCCAAGCAUCUGGAACUCCAGGGAGACACCAGUGGCUGCAAUCCAGAUCGGGAGAAGGGUAAUUCCAAGUGCCAAUAUGAGCAUCACUUCGGAACAAACCCAUCGAAGUAACGUUCAGCAAAGUCACGGGAACUCUCAUAUUGGUAACCACAUCAUUGAGAAUUUUACCAAAUUCACUCUUGUCCUCAAAAGAUGGCUGUUUCGAUACAUUGCACCCCUUUCCGUUUGAGCCACUAAGUUACCACAAAAACACAAAAAGCUAGCAAUUAUAUUAUGAAGGAAAACAUACAGACAAUCCAGGACCUCUAGCGCAUUUUGAAAUGAGUGCCUAAACUUUUGACAGCAUUUUUGUGGUACAUUUUAAGAUGUUUCAUGUAUAGAUGAACUUCAUGAUUUAAUGCCUUCAACCAUUAAAGCUGUCAUUCAUCAUAACGCAUCCAGAUUUUACCUGCUCUUUUGAGUGGCAACAGGCUUUAUAUGUUCUAAUAAGUUGGAUCAUCGUAGGCUUUACCUACACUAAACUUAUUUUCAUCUGAACUUUGCUGUUGUAUUUGGUUCUAGUUUCUAGAUGAUGCAUUUGCAAUAUGUGCCCUGUUUCCAACAUUUUUUUAAUAUUUUGCAGAAAUUUCCAAUUCAAUGAAACACCCCCAAAAAUUGCCAGAAAUUAAAGAGAUGACAGUUUAUUAUGAUUUCCAUACUGAAACUUAAAUUCGACCUAUCUUCAUAUUUUCUUUAUGCUGACACUUAUAGGUCUUCUAGCAGGUUUCAUGUAAUUUCACCAAAUCAACAAUCUCUUUUAGAGAUCGAAUGUACUUUAUUUGAUAUUGCCAUGUUGCCAUCAAAUGGAUCUUGCAGCAGUAUCCACUCUUUUCUGCCUUUUGCAUUCAGGACACAUCACUGACCUUUGAAUGCGAAAGGAGUAGGUUUCUGGACCAAAAGGAUCUGCUGAUAAAACCUCCUCAGUGUAGAAAUGCGACAGUAAAUUAUCUUAAAAUUCGAGGGGUCCAACACAAUGAAUGUGCAUUGUAUCCGCCUUAACAUUUUCUAGAAACUUGUCUUACCCUUCCAUAGAACCUCAAACAUCACUGCAUAAAAACUAGCAUCUACUUAUCAGGUGCAAACUUCUGUUUUUUUUUUUGUUUUUGUUUUUUUUUUUUUUGGUGAAAAGUUGAGGUGAACUUUGCAUGUCAGUUCCGAAUCCAGUGGUUAUAGAAGAACUAAUGUCAUUCCUGUAAUCCAGUGGAUAUAGAAAACAAACUAAGUUGCAGUUCCAGAGACUUCAAGAAUGUUUUGGAACAAAUGAGAUGCGCACCUCCAAUGAGAAGGCUCAUAAGUCCUGAAAAAGACUUGAGUUCUAUUUGUGUCUACGAUCUUUUCUACCCACGACGCCCAAGUGUGCAAAGCCAUUCUAAAGGCAGCAUUGAUGGGCAUCCCAAGCUUGAGUCGUCCUCCGGCCUGGAAAUGGCGACCCCUGUUGAAAAAUCCGACGUGAAAAUAGUAUAAGGAAACAAUAUAAACAUCAUAAGGCAUUAUUCAUAACCAUAUACGUUUUAUAAGAACAAACACUAUGCAUUCGCUUUAGCUUCUAAGUCACGAAGCUCAAACUAUAUAAAUGUUUUGUCCAUAAUUAGUACAGGCAAAUCAUGCAGCAAAGCAUACCAGAGUCACAACAUACACCUUAGAACAUUCAGAUUCCCGGGAGUGAAAUGUUAUUAAUUACCUGUUUAUUUUUUGAAUCUUCUACAUAUUAAUCAAAUUUUACGCAAAUUAUGAAUCAAAAAAUUUCAUAGAAAUUUAGAAGAAAAGGAAACGGAUGUUGCACAAUGACAGAAAUAGUACAGAAAUCUUGCUAACAAGUAAAAAGACACCUUAGAUCUAUAAAGAGAAGUUGUUUUUUGCAGUACAAACUACUACAUUCAUAAAUGUGUUAUCAAGAUAGGCAGAAACUUUGAGCUACAAAUAAAGUGAAAGAAUUGAGAGCCAAAAAGUGCGCAACUUACACAUGAAACAGUUUACUUCGAGUCCACCAAUGGCCAGAAUUGAAUACAAGAAUAUCCGAAUCAACCCACUUACUACUUAUCUCAUCCACCUUGUCCAGCUCGAGUAUCGCCCGGACCCUUCUAGGCCCGUGCUUCGGCGGCGAACCCUGCCGCACCAAGAACACAGAGCGGAAGAACUCCACACUAAGAUUAUAUCUCUCAAACCUAACACCCAAGAAGCGAACCGUCUUUGUGAUCUCACUCCCGUUCACCUCAUAAACGUUCCCUGGAUCUCCCACCCCACUCAUAAGCAUACAAAUCAAAGACUCCCACUGCGUCCGGCUCAUCGAGUCGCCCACGAAAACAACACGUUUCCCCCUAACCGAUUCGAGCACAUUAUGAGGACUAAACUUGGGCAAAUCGCAAUGCCGAGGCUUCCACCUCAAUUUAAGAUACCCACUAUCCUUUCUCCCAUUUGCCAAGCAAUUGAAACCACGCUCCGCAAAAGGGCAUUUUGAGCUAUUAUACAGCGGGUAUGAAUCAUCGAAAACCCAAUCACCAUCAAAUACAUCACAAAAACCCUUCUUGAUGAUGAAUCCAGAUAACAAGCUCCCCCUACAGGGGAAUCGACGCAAAUAGAGAUGGAUAACUGAUCCAAUAACUACAGCAGAAGAAACUAUGAAGAAGAUUAGGGCAAUAGAGUCAAAUACCAACCCCGAAACCCACGAUUUCCGAGUCCUACUCAUUUCCCCCCAAAUCCACGAUCAAACCUACUUAAUUGAAACAAGAAAUCGGCGAUAACAUACGAAACGAAGAGGAAAUUGGAGGGGAAAAGAGGCGUAACCGGAUUGAGGGGGCGAUUCGUUGAUGAUUCUUCCUUGUUUAUAGUCGAAUCGGAGAAACCCUAAUCCUAGAUGUUGAGAUCGCACGCGCAUGCACACACUCUUUCUCUUUCCCGCUCCCGCGCGCGAAGAAUUUGGCGGGGGCGCGGGAAGAGAGGGGUGGGUCCGGUUGGUAGUCCACCGACCGAGGGUAUUUUCGGUGUUUUACGAUUAGUUUAGUUCUUUUUCUUUUUCUUUUUUUCUUUUUUUUUUUUUUUUUUCUUUUCAGAGCCCACUGUAUCUGCUACGGAUUGAGGGAAGGGGAUCGCAAAAUAGAUAGUAUUUUCUAUGUGAGCUGAUUGUGUUAGUGGAGCACCCGGUAGUAGGGGUGUAAACGAGUCCAACACGAGCGAGCUAAGAUCGACUUGUGUUCAGCUCGUUUAAUAAACGAGUCGAAUAUGAGCUGACUCGUUAAAAUAUCGAGCCGAAAAAUUCAGUUCUUGUUCGGCUCGUCAAUAAACGAGCUGAACACGAGCUGGCUCACGAGCUGGCCAACAAACAAUAAGUUAAAAAAAUUAGAUUGAAUAUAUAUAAAAAAUAAUUUUAUAAAAUCUUAUUCAUUAGAUUUUGAUUUAAUAAUUGAAAUUUUACACAUAAUGAGUCCUUUUAUAAUUAAGCUCGUAUUUAUAUUGUUAUUUUGCUAAAAAUUAAAUAAUAAAAAUAUAUUAUAUAUAAUUAUUUAUUUAUAUAUAAAAAUAUAAAUUAUAUAAAUAUAAAAUAUAUGUAUUCGAGUUGUUAUCGAGCCAAACACGAGCGAGCUGACCCAGCUCGUGCAGCUCACUCGUAUUCGGCUCAUUUAGUAAACAAANGAAAAAUUCAUAUUCGGCUCGUUUAUUAAACGAGCGAUUCGAUUUCGAGUUUAUUUCGAGCUGAAUACAAGCUGGCUCGCGAACAGCGAACCGGAUUGCCACCCCUAUCCAGUAGUGACUAGUUUUUGAAAGAUUAUAUUAUAAAUAUUAGGACUGACUAGGCUAGUUUUUAUUAUGUUUUAUUUUCAUGAGAGGUGACGGUGUAUACAUUACGAAUCAUGUAUGCACAGUAUGAUUUUAUGCUAUAGUUUUAUUGAUGUCAGCUCUGAUAUUUAUUGUAGUAGAUAUUUAAUUAUAUUUUGCAGGUUUAGACGCAUCGUGUGCAUAGGGCUCUCCGUACAUGCGGUGAAUUUAUUGGUGCGCCCAAAUUUCUGCUGCAACGCGGGACGUGGCAGAUUAAAUUAAACACGAGCUAACAUCAUAAGUAAUGCAAUCUUGUAAGUUGUUCUACGUAGUGGUAGUUUAUUGGUUGGUACUAGGAAUGUAAAUGAUGCCCGAUCCGGCACGUCCUCGAGCCGGGCUACAGCGCGAUGCGAAUACUGUAGCCUCCGUGUCAGACAGACCCGGCCCAAGCCUUCUGGCCAUGUUGGGCCACUCCUCUGGGGCCCGACGAUCCAGCGCGGCACGGCUCGAAACGUGCUUGAACCGUACCGGGUCGAGAAGAGGCGGGUGGCCCGGUACAACACGGCUCGCUUGGGCCAUGCCAACCGGGCCAGCACGGCCCAGUCCCCCAAGGCACAAGUGCCUUAGGCCUUGGGGCCUAAGCUUCUAGGGAGAAGGGCAAAAGCUCUCCUCCCAGGGUCUAACCUUGGAAUGAGUGAUUUUGGUCCAAUAAACUAAAGAAUUUUGAUUCAUUAGAUCAAAAUCUCAUUUCAUUUUUUUUUCUCAAAAAAAAAAAAAAACAAAUUUAUUAAUUUUUUAAAAAAAAUAAAUAUUUACUAUAUUAUAAUUAUUUUUAUAAAUUUUUAACGAUUUAAUCAAAAUAUUAAUUUAAAUAAAAAUAUUUAUUAUUUAUAUUUUAAAUUUUAUACUAAAUUUUUAAAAAAAAUAUAUAAAAAUAAAUACUUUAAGAGCCCGGCCCGAAGCACGGCCCGGCCCGGCACAGCCCGUGCCUUCCAGGCCGAAGGGCCAUGCCGUACCGGAGGCUAGGCAGCUCGACUUGCCAUGGCCCAACCCAAAAUAGAAGCCGGGCCGUGCCAGGCCGGGCCGGGCUGGCUACUAGCCUGUUUCGGCUUUCAGUACAACCCUAGUUGGUACUAUCACAUGAAAAAUUCUAGAAUACAAUAGGUAUAUUGGUGACGUAGCGUAACAAGCCAAUCAAAUAUUUCGUUUUAGGGAUAUAUGUCCCAUCAUGAUUAUAAAAAAAUAUUUUUAUUAUAUUUUUGUUUGAAAAGAAAGAAUGUGAUUGACUUGUUAUUGAUGACGUGGUGCCAGUGUGAUAGUGUAGAAUUCCUCCUAUCACAUAUAUUGGACAACCUGGUUUAUAGAGGAUCCAUUACCAACCACAAGAAAGUUUGUUGACAAGUUAUUCCUUUUUUUUUUUUNUAUUCUUUUUUUUUUUUACUUUUACUGUAGCAAGUAAACUUCUAGAAAGGCCAUUAAUUGAAACAGUACUUAGUAAAUAAAGAGGCUACAGUUGUUUUAAUUUUAAUAUCAUCAUAUAUAUUAAAACUAAUUUUUGGAGGUAAAAAACAGAAGCUUUAAUUUAAAUUCUUCUUUAAGUGGCUCUACUCUCCAUUAAUUUCGAAAAUAGGAUUGUUAAUUAUUCCUUGAACAUGGUCAAAACAACAGAAUCAUAUAAAAAUGGUUUUUGAAAAAUUUCUUAAUAUAAUAUUAUUUAGUCGAAAUUCAUAAUCAUUCAACAUAACUUCAACUAAUUUUGAGGACUUAGUGAUGUUUGGUUUCUCAAAAAGUUGUGGAAAAACUAUUUUCUAAAAAAAAAAAAAUCAUGAAAAACAUUCUUUCCAUAGCAAAAAUCAGCAAAAAAAAAAGAAACCAGAAAAACUAGUCUUAUAAAUCGAACGAACUUAAAAUCAGUUUGCGAUGCAACUCAUCCAACCAUUUGUACUCUGCUCAUUUCUGUACCAAGAGAGGCUUAAAGAACAUCUAUGCGAAAAGGAACAUGCACAAGAAGAACCCAACAGAGGGAUACGAACAAAAACAUUGUGACAAAUCUCCCCGCAGAGAAUCGGUCUAAUCAACAAUAUCAUUGCUUUACGAUUCGUUGUGUCGAACGGCCGACUAAACCGUCUAUUAGUGGGAGGCUCCCCAUAUAUAAAUUUUUUUCCAAAAUAUACGUAGGGAUGAAGAAACUAAAAUUUACAUCAAUUCCGCAAAGCAUUCAACUUCCAGCUCUUAAUUGAUGGCUAUAGGGGUAAUUCUCUUCUUGGUAGGCUUAUUCGGUGCGGAGUUCUUGGUUGACGUUGAUGAUGGUUGUGUUCCUUCCCCGGCCUUUGAAUCUGUCUCCUUGUCGACUUUGCGCCCAAUAUCUUCCUUGUCGACUUCCAUAUUGUCCACCAUUUCAGGCUUCAGGCUGCUCAUAUUUGCAUUCCCUUCCACAGAUUUCUUUUCAUCUAUACCCCACAAAAAAAAAAGAAGAAAAAAAGAAUGAAAGAGAUCAUUUAAGGAUGAAGUUCAAUCAAAACAUCAAUUGCAACAAGAACCUAAUCGUGCUUCCGUGUUCAGCAAUUCACUAAGUAAAAAGAAAAUGAAAGUUAAGGAGUAAAAUGUGAUGGCAGUCCUCAAACCUUCAACAAAUUGCAAUUUGGCGGCUAUUAGUCAAUUUAAAGUAGAUUAGGAUGUACUCGGAUACCAUGUUAUGAAUAUCACGACAAGUGCAAUAACUAAACAGUUUAAGCUAAUUAUUGAGCGAAUUGCAACUCAUUGAAAGUUCAGGUAAUAGCCUGAGUAGAAAAAUAUGUAAUUUCUCCUAAGUAUAUAAUAUCUUUUGCCUGUCUAUACCUUACACUAAGAAUCUUACACAACAUUCCUUUUUCCUGUUCCCAUGAGCUUUCCUAUUAAUUUUGGCAAACCAAUGUCCUCUGAAUGUUAAUUGCUAUUAAGAGACUAAUUAUAGGAUUGAGGGGAAACGGUGAAGUCGGUCUAAUACACUGCCAUAAUAAGAGAAUAAGAGCAAAAUUGCACAGGGAAAUCAUGCACGACAAGCGUCAAAAGGUCAGUAGGUAUCUUCUCAACUAGCAUACUAGUGUCCUAUUUUGUCCUCAUAAAGUAAUAUGUGAUGUCUUCAGCAUCUUCACAACUUCAUCGAGCAUCUGAAGAACAAAAGCUUUAACCAUCAAAGAUUACCUGAGAUCGUAUAAGUCUGUCCAAGCUCGUCAUUCUCAAAUUCUAUAAUAGUACAAUACCCAUCUCGUGACGACAAUGCAAGGUGCUUCGCGUCAGACGACCUAGCAUGAGUAAAAUGGUAAAUCACUUUGGACCAAAAAAAUUAAAUUUUACAUACAUACCCCUAUGAAAUUAUGUUUAAAAUAAAUUAAUUACAUAUAUACCAUAAAAAAUAAAUACCCUACGACUAACAAAAACGCCCAUCUUAGAUAACUAUUUUUCGAUGACUCCCCAGCCUUAGAAAAGGGUUCUCUUUUUGGGGCUAAAAAACUGCAGUUUCCGGGAGUAUUUAUAAUGUUUCAGAUUUUAUAGAGGUAAUAUAUAUAAACAGAUUACUUGUGCAGAGGUGUAUGUGCAAAAGCCCCAGCAAAAAAUCAUCCACGGACCAAUAAAAGACAAAUUCAAAGUCCACAGAAAUCUUAAAAAGUGAAAAAAAAACAUUUGCUGCAGCAAGGCAUAUUGAGAAGGUACUGACCAAGUGAUAUCUGUGAUGGCUGCAUAGUGAAGUCCACCAAACACUGCUAUUGGGAGGGAGCUUUCGGUAUCGUAAAUGUAGAGAGAAUUCAAAGUAGCCACAGAAAAAAUCACUCUAUAAGGAAGCUUAAAGAAACCAUCUGCCAUUAUUUAAUACAGCUGAUUCAGACCCCAUAACAUGAUAAAAACUUGAACAACAUCAUGUUAAAAGGAACAGAAUAAGCUACAGUAUUUGUUAAGCCACCUGAUUUGGAACCUCGUAGAUUGAAAAGAACAGGGCAGAAUCGAACAGCCACAAUGGGUUUGUUAGCACCUGGGAGUUGUACCGCAGGCCUACAAAAUUAGAAACUACUACAUUUCAAAUUAUCUAUUUUACAUACAUCCUAGGAAAAUCUGAAUUUCUAUGUAUACUUCUUAAAAAGUUAAUUCUCAUGUAUGUAUUAUUGUACGUAAAAAAAAUUAUCCAUUUUCAAAGAACUUUUUCUAAUACAAAACCAACAAACAUACAUGAAUUGGAUGGUGCCCUAACUUAUAGGUAUUUUGCUAAAAAAUUGCAUAUUCCAGGUGCACAUAUAAAAAUUCAAAUUUGCAGGGGCGAAAUUUGCUAUGGCAGCUGGACUACAAGAAUGAGAUUGUGGUCUGUCCUAUAUGAGCUAACGCAUAAGGGCACAACUGGAGUUGAAAAUGCAGUGUAGUUCCAUUUACAAAGUGACCAACUAGAAUUGGAUUUACCGAUAGCAAUAUGUACAAGUGGUGUAAAGCAAGUGCAAUUGGGAUUUGAGAACUUGAAAAGUCCAAAUUCUUGCAUCCCCUUUGAAACAGGAUUUCCUCAUUCAUAGAAAUACUGAAACAUAUAGAACAUAGUUCUUCCAAGUAAUAUGGCGAGUAGAUUAAGAUGAACUUAGUUAUAUCUAAAAAUGUGCUAGUAUUGUUACCUUGAAAGAUCUCUCCUAGACAGUAUAUAAGCAGUGUUAAAUGCUUCCGAUGCAGAAGAACAUUUGUAUAUACCUGAAAAUUUUAUUUAGACAGAAUUUACAUCAGUGAAUAGGAUCAACAAAGGCAAAGAAUAGUGGUUCAAGUUGUGCAAUUGUUCAUUAAAAAGAAAAAAGGAGAAAAAGUAUGAAGGCUUUAUAAUGUUUCCCUUGCUCACCAAUCAUUCCAUCUAGAACUUGCAAAAUGCAAAUGAAAGUUAAUAUGUAACAAUUAAGCUGAAUCAAAUUAUCAAAUUAACAAAGGUUAGGUUAACUUGCUUGCUAGAGUAGAAGCCAGACAACGUACCAGUUGAACAGUCACUAAUGUGCAAUAUAUAACAGAAUGCAUAACAUCGAGGUAUACUCAAAUGUAUGAAUGAUCAAAGAGAAGCAAUUUUCAAACUCAUUAAAGGACAAAAUAUAUUGAUGAUAUGAUAAAAAUAUCGAAAAAUAUGUGCUAGUAAAACAAGUUUACACCUGUACCUGCCGGGACUACCAAAAAUGAUCCAUCAGGCGACCAUGCCAAUCGCCGGAAGAAGGAAGGCAAUGUUUCAUCAUGAAACAAAUGAGUUUUAGGUGGCAGAUGCUGAAAUAAAGAAGUUGCACAAAACAUUAUUCUUAAAUAUAUGACCAAAAAAUGCAACUAAUGACAUAGAUUGCAAACCUUUGAAUCAUCAAUAUUUUGGGGCUCAAACUUUGUCAGUGUAUAUUGGCACAUGAAGUUGAUUUUCUCAAAGCCUUUUGAUUUGGCUUGAGGCUUAUUUGCAUAUACCCGUAAAGUCCUAUCUGAGCUAAGUGAAGCAACAUACUGAUCCAAAGGAUCCCAGGCAACACCCUGAACAUAAUGCAAAUGGGCAUCUAAAAUUUGAUGGACUGAACCUGAAACAAAUUAUCCAUAAAUAAUAUGUUGUCAGGCAUUCCAUAAUCCAAACAGGAAAAAUAUAAUGGGGUCUUUUAGUUUGUUCCUGCAAAAGCAUCUAUUUACACAUAUACCCCUGAAAAACCUGGUUUCUAUAUAUACUCCUUCAAAGUGCAGUUUUCUACAAAGAUGCCCUUAUCUAAUUCAUGGGUGGAAGUUGGUUUUCUAUUGAGUACAAAGGGUAUAUAUCUAUGAAAUUACGUUUUUGAAGAGCAUAAUGCAAAUUCAGGUUCUGUAUGGAUAUGUGUGUAAGUAGAUACUUCAACAGGAGGACAUAAAUAUCCCAACAAAAUUUGCCUAUCAUUGAUACCUUUAUUAACAUCCCAUAUUAUGCAAGAGUUAUCAACUGAACCAGAAAUGAGGUAAGCAGCAUCAGCAGACCACUGAAGGUCAAGAACAUCCUUCCGAUGAAAUCUGAUAAAAGACAAAACAAGAAGAGUACAAUAACUCUUGCAAGAAAACAGUAUUUCCAUAGAUAAUUUUCACAUGGAGGAUCUUACAAUAAUGACUUGAGUACUUUCCAUGUAUGGCCAUCAUCUGUUGAAUGUAGUUUCCAGAGGACUAAUUCACCUCCUAAAAAAUUGAGGAAGAAACAGAAGCAUAACAAUUUAUAUUCUCCGACAAGAUGCUAAUUCUACAUAAAGCAUUAACUUAUUUUCAAAAAACAAAUAAUAAAAUGAUAAUAUGAUAAUAAAAUGAACCAAAACAUACCAUCGGCACCAGAUGCAAGGUAUUCUCCUGUAAAAAGAAAAAGGAAAUAGAAAGAGAUAGUCACUCUUCUGGCUAGACAUCUAAAGGAAAGGAAUCAAGAGAUUAGUUCAAAGCCUUAACAGAUAAUGAGACCGAGGAGAGGCGAUAAUAUAAUGCCAACACAGAUAAAGGGAGGGGAAAAAAGAAUAGCUAAUAUGUUUGUUUCUUCCACAAUGUACUCUUUAUUCAAAGCAAUUCGGGGUGCUGUUUCUUGUUUUAAAUAGGAUUCAGUAGAAGACCAGAUUUUGCCAAAUACUGAAGGCCCAAAAUUAAACAAUUAUGUGUGUGAAUUUUACUAUCUAAGAUUAUAUCUAAUAAUAGUAACUCUGUCUGCUUUGACAUAGUAAUUACUAAGUCGUUAAGAUGAAGCAAACAAUACAAAGGCAGUUAUGAAAGAUAUCACAACCCUCUUCAGUCUUGGUAUUUUCUCAUAAUAGUGUUUUCUACAACUAAACUCUUUCUCUAUUCGCUUAUUAUAUUAUGUUAUACACUUGACCAUAGCUAUAUAUGCACUUUAUUCACACAAUAGAUUCCAUAGCACUAUGAUAUGAAAGAAGCCACUAUCACAAUGCCACCAUAUAAAUUCUUUUCCUAACAUUAUCAAUUUUGUGCAGUAACAAACUGUUAGGAGCCGAAUUCCCUGGUCUUUGACUCGGUUAAAGACCUCUCUUGGGAAAAGUGUAGGGAUGCGGAACGGCUCCGAAUAAUGACCCUCGAAAUCUGCGCCCUUCGACUGGAUCAAACGAUUCGGCUGAUGAGGGAUCAUAUCAGCCAAGUUCGAAGACCUUUACUAUAGACUCGGUUCGACUGAAAGAGCCGAAUGUACAGAAAACAUAGGGUUUUGGGUCGGCUGAGGAGCGGAAUGCCUUUAUAUAUUGGAAUUAAUCUGUGAAACUAAUACAAAGGAUGAGUGUGCCUGGAGGCAUACAGACUCGGUUGAUCUAACUUAAAGUUACUCCUAGGAAAAACAGUAAAUGUGAGAAAGUAAAAGAUUACAAAUAGACUAGUUCUAGAAAAUGCGAGGACAAUGCAGAGGAAAUAAAGGUGGUCUUCUAUUCUCGGGAAAAAGACUUCUUUUCUGGGCAUUAUUUGCCUAUUUAUAGCCCGCCUCUGUUGGUCAGUUAUUGCCCCAUCCAUGAUCGGCCACUACCCUAUUUUUACGGGCUACUUCAAGCUGAUCAAAUCCGUACGUAACCACUUGCAGUUACUGUAACUUCUUGCAAUUACACCUGGCGGUUACUUAAUUUUAUUGUCAAUGCUCCCGGUGCACACCAAAAUCUACUUUAAUCCUCGCUCCUAAAGAUUUUGGGGUUGAAUGGUGCACCAGCAUACCACGUGGCCGCGCAUUAUUGGCCUAACACAAACAAAGCACCUUUGCCAAGAAAAUGCAUCAAAGCUAGCAGGAUGAAUCAUGCCUGAGAGUGUCAUGAAGAUCUGAGCAGUAUAGUAGAUAUUCUCAGGUUAGUUAAAUUUACUGAUAAGACUGAUAUCUUCAUCCACAAUACUAAAAAUGAAUUUUUGCAGAUCGCAAUCACUAGUCAGAAUAUUUCUUCCCCUUCAAUCUCAUUCCACUUUACAGAGUGGACGAUAAUAGCAUAUAUUGCAAACCAAACAAGACUGAUAGAUCAUCAGCACAUGGUAUGCUCCAUUUUGUAGGAAGAGUGCACUUAGUUUUACUAUCCAAGUUGAAUAUUAACCCCGAUAAAUGGGCCAAUUACAAAAGGGUCAUUCAUAGUCAACAGGACUCUACGGAAAUACCAAUCAGACUGGAGAUUAAUAGUUAUGUUAUGUAGAAAUGGGGGGAAAAAAAUGUUUUAAAAAUGUAUUUGCCAGAAAAUAUCAUUUCUUUUAUAGUUGAUCCUUUGGAGAGAAAACUCAAACUCUGAUAAAAGUUGAUAUGAUUUGGUACAUGCUCUCACCAGAUGGGGAGAAUCGGAGUGCAUUUACAGCAGAAGUAUGGUAUGAAAGGCUGUUUUGAUAGGAAGCUGUUGGAAGUUUCUUCUCUGAUUCUUCUGAAGCUAUAGACCAUAUCUGCAGACAAAGCGAAGAUAGACCACUAAUUAAUUAUAUAAGGAAAAAACACAAUAACAUCAUACUGUAGAGUCUUCAGAUAAUCUUAGAAAAAUAAUGAUAGGGAGGAUUAACAAAAGUUGGCAGAAUAUUUAGCAUGAAAGAUAAGCUAAUGUGAGCUAGGAUGGGGUGCUAUUAAUAGCACUGAGCCUUUUGUGCUGUAGAGUCAUUUUCAAUGCUAGGGCAUUCGUUUUGACGAUCAAUGCCGUUAAACAUGAUAGCGUGUUUGAACUUCAUAGAUUCUGAAUUUUUUUUGUAACUUUUCAACACCAUUUACUAAGUAAUCAAGCGGUCACAAAAGUGACAAUUUAAUGGCUUUUAUGAGCUGCUUUCUAGUUUAGCUAUAUAGAAACAAUCCACAUUGGUUGAAUUUUUUAGAGAAAUUUUUUUUUCUUUAGGAUAAGAUUUAAAACUUCAAUCUUGAAUUUGAAAUUUCGAUCCCCUAUUUCAGAAGGUUGUUCAGUUUUGACCCUUCAUUUUCUAGCAAGUUGAUGAACUAGAAAAUGAUUUUCAAAAAUCACGAAAUUUGGAUCCCAGAAUGUGCAAAUAUCGUAAAUCAUUUUUAACGCUAUUGAUUGUCAAACUGGAUGACCCAUCAUCGAAAACCAGUCUAUAGCACGAAGGCUUGGUGCUUUUAAUACCACAGUAGCUCAACUAUGCUAGUAGAUCCUAAUAAGAAGCACAAUUCUGCUAAUUCUUUGUGACGGCCCAUUAGUCCCACAUCGAAUAAUAUGGGAGAAUAUGGAGGGUAUAUGACGAGCAUACUAGAACUAAUAACUGAGCUUUAGCAUUUUUCGCUGGUGGUUGAUGGUUUGGGCCCAACAAGUUAUUAAUGUUAGUGGGCCAGAUCGUUACAUUAUCUACAUUUUCAGAAGACAUUUGCUAUAACACAUCACGUUAACAUUUUUAUUAUUGAACCACUAAUACUCCACAAUUUGAGUAGACCCAUUUGCUACAAAACAUAGAAAUAGCAUCUUUAUUAUAGAACUACUAAUACUCCACAAUUUGAGUAGACCCAUUUGCUACAACACAUAAAAAUAGCCUCUUUAUUAUAGAACUACUAAUACUCCACAACUUGAAAAAAAUGCAUUUGCUGGAACACAUCAAACUAGCAUCUUUAUCAUAGAACUACUAAUACUCCACAAUUUAAGAAGAUUUUUUUGUUGUAACACAUCAAAAUAGCAUCUUUAUCACAAAACUACUGAUACUGCACAAUUUGAGAAGACCAUUUGCUAUAACACAUCAAAAACGGCAUCUUUAUCACAAACUACUAAUACUCCACAAUUUGACAAGACCCAUUUGCGACAACACAUCAAAAUCGCAUCAUUAUCACAGAAUCAAAACAACGGGAGGCGAAAUCAAAGAGGCGAAAGGUAAACUCCCACCUUGAUAUCGUGAUCGCUUCCCCCGGUGGCGAGAACCCGAGACUUCGGGUGGAAAUCUAGGGUUAGGACCGGGUGGGCGUCGUGCCAAUUGAUCUGAACCGUCCCUCCCUUCAUCCUCCGCCGCUACCUAGAUCCCUCUAGGGUUUCUUCCACCUUCGCCUCGAGCUCUCGUCCGAUCGGAGCUUAGACGAGGAGCUAGGGUUUGGGUAGCUUUGGGGAUUUUGGGCAGCGGGAGGGAGAUUUUGGCGCCCUUUUCCUGGGAUUGGAGGCGGGAAGGAGAGAAAGGGUGACAAGCGAACCGGCAGUGAGAAUAAAUAGUGAGAGUUCUCAGUCACGUGAUGCUCACGAGGAGACGCCCAGUGGUAUAAAUUGCACCACGGUCCCUAACCUUUUACCUUUCUCACCUUGGAUCCUAAUUUUUUUUUCUUUUCUAGUAGGACACUCGUCUUGACACCAAUCUUGAAAUUGGUGGAUACUUUGUAAAUAUUAGUUUUGAAAUAAAUGUGCCACUUAGUUUUGCUAUAAAUUGUCUUUUUGUUUUGUUAAAAUGAAUUAUUAUAGUAUAAAAUAGUGUGUGUAUUUUAGUAUUUCUAGAAGUGUCUUUUAAAUUUUCUUUGAAAAUUAUAAGUAGGGCUGGCAAAUGAGCGAGCCGGCUCACGUUGGACUCAUGUUCGACUCGAUAUUUGGCUCGCUUGAGCUCGACUCGAAAUUAAAUGAGCCGAGUUUAAACAAAAAAAAAGGCUCGAAAUUUAUUUCAAGCCGAGCUUGAGCAUUAUUCGGCUCGUUCGAAUUAGACUCGAAAAGCUCGAAAAGCUCGAAUAUAUAUAUAUAUAUAUAGUAGAACUACUGUGCUAUCGAAAGUAUAGAAGAUCUGGUACUUUCGAUUUUUUGAUUCUUAGAUCAACCCCUUUAAUCAUUUCUUAUCUUUGGAUUAAUACUAUUAUUACAUUGUAGGAACCACUCAAUCCUAGGGGUAUUAUUUAAUCCUAGGGGGGACCGCAAUCAUCUCAACCAUAUAAUUUUGCAUAUAAUUCUUAAUCAAAAGGUCAAAAAUUCGAAAACAUCAAAUUCUCUAUAUUUUUUAUAGCAUAGUAGUUCUACACUAUAUAUAUAUAUAUAUAUAUAUAUAUAUAUAUAUAUAUAUAUAUAUUUUAAUUAUAUAUAGGCUGANGACUAAAUAAUCUCAGUUUAGUUAAAAUUGGGCAAAUAUUGUUGGCCCAUAAAAACAAAUCCAAUAAACAAAUAAAAGAGCAAAAUUUUACUAAAUUUAUACAUUUUUCCUUUCUUUCUUCAGAGCUCUAAAUUUUCAAUAUGUUUCUCUCUUUUUCUUUUUCUGUCUCUCACCCUAAGUAGCCAAGCCGGAGGCCCUCCAAGUUACCAAGUAACAGCAUAUGCCCGUCAUUGCCUACCUUUCUAUUAAUUGUAUGCUUGAGAAAAUAUACAUAAUAUUUUUAAAAUAAAAAAUUAUUAUUCAUAUAAAAUUUUAAUUUUAGUUAUAUAUGAUUGGAUAGUUUAAUCCAAUAUUUAUCUAUAUAAUUUAUUUAUUUUUGACCGCAUAAAUGAAAAUGAAUAAUAUGGAGAUUGAAGGUGGAAGAUAAGACAUGUGAGGCUGAAAAGAUUAGAUAUUCAAGUCAUAAAUUAUCUUUCUUCAUAUUAUAAUACUAUAUUUUAUAUAAUUAUUUUGUACUUUGAACUAUUAGAUAUAUUUUUGUAUCAAAUUAUAGAUAAUUUUCUAUACAAAUUAAACUAUUGAUUGUAUGAUGUUGGGAAUUUCAAGCGGCUCGUUUAGGGCUCGAGCUCGCUCGACUCGAAAUUAGGCUCGCUCGAGCUCGGCUCGAAUUAAUUUCAAUCCAAGCUUGAGCUUAAAUUUAGGCUCGAAAUUAAUUUCAAGCCGAAUUUGAGCCGAGGUAAGCUCGCUCAAGCUCGGCUCGUUUCCACCCCUAAUUAUAAGUGAAUUAAUGCGUAUGAAAGUUGAAAGGUGCUUUGUAAGUUUAAAUAUAUAUAUAUAUAUAUAUAUAUAUAUAUAUAUAUAUAUAUAUAUAACAAUUUUAAGAUGAUAAAUAAGUCAAUUUGAGUUGAAGUUUCUAUUUUUAUUGGAGAAGAGGGAUUUCUUCUUGCUUAUAUUUCUUAAGUGAAUUUCCUGUGAGAUAAGAGUGUUAUUCAACUAUUAUGUUGGUGGAUUCUGCAUAAUGGUGAGUGUGCUUUAAUUUGACGUGGUGGAUUCUAUGGUGGGUCGAGUGUUUAUUGAGUCGUAUUUGUUCUAUUUUCGCAUCCCCUCUAAGUUCCGACGCCAUAUCUUUAUAUUUUAUUAUUAUUAGAUAUCAUUAAUUUUGACAUAAUAAGUCACGUAAAUUUUAAAAAUCUCAAUUAUAGUCUGAUAGGCUUCGAUCAAUUUUAUCAUAAACUUAUUCAAAAUUCUAAAAUAGAUUAGUGGCUUACUCAGUUUGAUUCUAUAAGCUCGAAUACUUUAAAAGACAUAGUUUUCGAUCGAUUUUGUGUGUGAGGUUGAGGUGGUCGUUGGUGCAGAGAAUGACAUUGGAGAUGGUGAGAAUGAGCUCGUAGCGAUGGGCACACAAUUAUGAGAAGAGACUAAGAAUUUAAAAAAAAAAGUUAAAAUUAACAAAAUAUUCCUAUCAAUAUCCGUUUUUUCAUGUUUUCCUCAUGUCAUUAAAAAACAUACAGUUUAAAAAAUAUUUAGAGGGAGAUACGGUGUGACAAAAUAACCAAAUUGUCUUCAUAUUUUUCAUCUCCUCUCCCAUCCUCCCCCCAUUCUUGCUCAUCCCGGCGGCGAAGGAGGGUGAGGGCGUGUGUCUGGGCAUGGAUCGAGAGGUGGGCGAGAGCGAGGCGGCGGCCGAGGGCAUGGAUGAGGGUGUCAGAAAUAUUUUGGGUGUAAAAAAUAAGAUAUAAACGGAACCCUAACGAAAUGCUGACGGCGGGAGCUGAAAUGAACAUUUUUUAUUUUUCAAAUGAGUAAAGUGUAGAUUUUUAAAUAACAGAAGGAAAAGUUAAAAAGCGGACACAAAUUUUAUGUAAUUUAGUAAAAAAAUAAGUAAAGAAUAGAAACUAAUGGUGCAAAAACCUAGACGAUAAGAAUAUGAUUGUGAAGAAAAAAGGAAAAAGAUUGGAAAGAGUAGAUGGGAUUAGACCAAUGUCUUCAUCUAUUAAACUAUUUUUUAUUUUUUUAAAUUCUUUCAGACUUUAAGCAUCCCACCCCACUACUCUAACCAAACAAAAUACUAUUUUACCUACUAUCCUUCUUAUCCCAUCUACUCCAACCAAACACUAUUUUAUCAAUACCUGGACUAAACCCAAUUCUCAACCAAAUACAAAAUUAGUCUAACUCCAUCUUAACCCUGAACUUAAGCUUAUCUUUAAAAUAAUUAAUUUUUACUUAAUUCCGAACCAAGCGGUUAGAAAACAAUUGUAUCUUAUAACUUAGCAAAUAGAAAACCCUUGUUUGGGCAUCAUUUGAGAGGCUUUCACAAACCCGAUCCACUUUCCGUGAAACAUAAAUUAUGGUGGAAAACUACAUGUUUUGAAAUGUGCUACAGGUGAGGGGCUCACCAUAAAUUUUCCACCUCUCCCUGUUGCCCACGAGGAAUUCUACACUGUCAUACUUGCACCAUAUCAUCAAUAACAAGCCAAUUAUAUCCCUUUUUUUCAAACAAAAGUAGAAUAAAAAUAUUUUUUUACAAUCAUUACGGGACAUAUAUCUCUAAAAGUAAAAAUUUGAUUGAUUUGUGACGCCACGUCACCAAUGGACCCGGUGCAUUCUAGAAUUUUUCGUUGCCCAACCAAAAAGCUCCCCGUCGAUUAAUUCUCCGUAGAACCGCUUUAUUUAUAUUUUAUACUCCGGUGGAUCGUUCGAUUCUUCUUCUUCUUCUUCAGCUUCCCACACUCCACCGUCUCCUUCUCCGGCCCCAACCCCUUCCCAUCAAUGCGGAGCCGGAGCCCCUUCUCCUCCUCGUCCCCCACCUCCGCCGCCGCCGACGAGAGCCACCACCCCCACCACCCCGCGCCGCCGCCGCCGCCGCCGUGCACCCGCCUCCACCAGAUCGGCGCCGUCGCCCUCGUCGUCGCCACCUUCCUCCUCACCCGCUCCCUCGAUCGCCUCUCCUCCUCCCCCCUCCUCCCCGCGCCACAAACCACCGCCACCGCCUCCUCCUCCUCCUCCGACGCGCUCUUCGACGGCGCCGGCGCCCUCGCGUGGCCCCAGCGCGGCUACGGGCCCCGCCUCGACCUCCGGAUCUACGUCUACGACGAGGCCGAGAUCGACGGCCUCCGCGAGCUCAUGCGCGGCAGGGACGGCCGGAUCUCGCCCGAUUCCUGCGUCAAGGGCCAGUGGGGCACGCAGGUGUAAUUCUUGGAUCUUCUCCCUCGUUAAAAAUCUAUAGGAUGCCCCUUCUCUUGAUUCAGAUGUUGCUUUAGAUCGUUUGUUCACUUCAUAUUAACUGAGUAAUGCAUAGUUACUGAAUAAUGCUUGUUACUGGUGAAUCACUCGAACUCUUAUUGUAAGAUGCUACAGAAAAUCAGUUGUUUCACAUGGUAUAGUUCUUAGAACUCUAUCAAAUAAAGAUCUAUAGAAUGUUGCUUCUCUUUUGUUUGGAUGUUGCUCGGCUACUGGUUAGAUAGUGUAAGGAAUUAGGGCUUUUGGUGGGAAAUUACUUGAAUUAUUAUCAGUUAGGUUUUAGGGCUGCUUGAUGUCCGGUAUAAAUAUCGUGUGACAUGCUGAUGCGGAAACUUUCAUGUAUUUCCGCUUAUUUUGGUAAUUUUCCUUGUCAGAAUGUUCAAAUUGUGAUGCUUCUCAAAUAAUGCUUAAUAAUAUGCUUGCUGCAUUGCUUCAGUUCUCAAUAUUUGUCAACUUUUGUAUUAUGCUAAGGGUUUGGAAGAGUUUUGCAAUCAUUUUAGUUGCAUUUCUUCAACGCUGCUCGUAUUUUUCCAUUGAAGGGUCAACCGCUUCUGCUCUGUUUCUUAGCCUUUCCCCUUUUGUGUGUUUCUUUUAGGUCAAAAUUCAUCAGCUAUUUCUCAAAUCAAGGUUUCGGACGUUAAGUAAGGAUGAGGCAGAUUUCUUCUUUGUUCCAGCUUAUGUUAAAUGUGUUCGGAUGAUGGGUGGAUUAAAUGAUAAAGAGAUCAAUCAGACGUAUGUGAAGGUAAAUUUAUAAUGUUGCUAUCUUCAUCUGAAUUUUCAAUGCUUAGUAUCAAAUUAAAUGCCGAUAGGGUGCUUAGCAUUCUACAAAUUGUGAGAUACUUCUCUAUUUGAUGUGUGAUGUUUGGGUCAUGUUUCUGUUGCUUCGUGUAGAAAUAAGUGGGGCUUCCUUAUAUCUUAUGGCUUACUUCAUUACAUUGUUUUAAUUGGAGUAGCUUCUAAAGAAUGCCAUAUUGAACCUGCUUAUAGUUUUCCUGUGGAAUUUAGGUUCUAAGUCAGAUGCCAUAUUUCCGUUAUUCAGGAGGACGUGACCACAUUUUUGUCUUCCCUAGGUAUCAUCUUAUCCACUUGUGACACGAUCAUUCAUUGUUAUGUCCUCUCCACAUAUAACUUGCAUGUUCUCGUGGUCACUAUCUCAUGUAUUUCGCAUGUGCCGAAUAUUCAUUUUUUAGUUAUGUAAUCAUACCUUUUCUUAUGAAAUGCAGUGGUGCUGGCGCUACGUUAUUUCGGUCCUGGGCAACAUUUUUAAAUCGUUCUAUCAUUCUUACUCCGGAGGUAUCACAUCAAUUCAACACUCUAUCAUUCUUACUGAUCUUUGUGUCCACGAGUUGUUUGCACGUACGCAUCCCAGCAUUUGUUGGACUAUUUUCUCAGUGUAGAAACUAGUAAUUGAAGAAAGAUCAUGGGGAUUUAUGUAAUGCAACAUAUAGGUCGUUUGAUGCCAAAGUGAGCUUUCUUCAUAAAUCGAGCAGAAUUAUGAAUUGAAAUGGUCUGAGAAUACAUGAUGACCUUGGUAGUAAUAAAGAGGAAAAGCUUAAAUAGAACUAAAUGGUGGGAAACUACACAGAUUGCUUAGAUUCUUGUCGCACCAUACUAGGACUCAUGGUUUGAAUAGGCGUGCUUAGGCACUUAGGCUUAAGGCCGCAGGCACCUUGGCACUUAGUUUCAAGGCACCAAGUUUGCACCUUGGGGCUUAAAAAUGCGCCUUGACCUAGGUGUGGGCCUUGGCCUAGGCACAAAGUCCCAAUUAGUGCCAUCCAGCUAAGUUACAAGUUUCAAGUGUCGAAUGUGGAUUUUGGAUGUCUAUCUACAAGAGUGUAGAGACCCCAAAUGCAGGUCUUGAACGUGUAGGUACAUAGUUAAGCUAGAGGCUUGAUGAUUUGUGAUUUUUUGCAUUCUUAAUGUACCAAUAUGCAUCAACUGAGUGAUGAUUUUUUUUUAUGGGAAUUUAGUUUUGGUACUCUGUUAUUUUUUUGAAUCCUAACUUGCAAUUUCUUUUUGUGAUAUUAAUAUAGCCUUUUGAUGAGUUUUUAUAUUUAUUUUUUAAUGUCUUCCUCAAGUGCAUGCCUUGCGACUUCCGUGUUGAGUUUUGCCUAGGCUUUAAGAGCCCUUGCAUCUCGAUGCGCCAUGUGCCUAUUAAAACUAUGCUAAGACUACAAUGUGAUAUUUCUUAUUCUAUGAUUUUAUGCCUUCAUCAUAUUUGUAUAUUAUAUAGCAUGUUAUGCUUGUAGUUAAUAUAAACAUUGAUUUAUCACCACAUGGAGAUGGCUGCCAUCAGACAUCCUGAAUGUGUUUGUAUUCAGAUAUUACUUGUAAGAACUAUGACCAUAACUAGAGUUCAUGCAAUUUUUUGUGUUUCAAAAAAAGUUAAUGUAUACCGCAUGAUUUUCAUUCUCUCCAUUAUUUAAUUCAUAUUAUUUAACCUUUUCUUUUAUUUGCAUAUAUUGGCCAUGAUAUUUCACAUUGUGUGAAGCUCUGCCUGUUAUAUAUCCCAGGCAAUGAUUUUGACAUUUCUUGAGUUAUCUGGUGUUUUUUUUUAGGGUGACCGGACAGAUAAAAGAGAUAUGAGUGCUUUUAACACAUGGAAGGAUAUUAUUAUCCCAGGUAAUGUUGAUGAUGGGAUGACAAAGUUUAAUGGGCCGUGCUUGGUCGAACCAAUCCCUUUAUCAGAAAGAAAGCACUUGGCAAACUUUCUUGGACGUGCACAGGGUAAGGCUGGUCGUCUCCAGUUGGUGGAGCUUGCCAAGCAGUAUCCUGACAAGGUUAGGCUUUAUUACCAUAUUUUCUUUUUUAUUUUAAGAUGAAAAUAAAAGUUGUAAAGUUAUUUCAGAAGUUCUUUCAUAUAAUUGUUUGAAGUGGUUUUGUAACGCUCAAUUUGCUUGUGAUACUGUUUUAUAUUGUUUUACUUCCGUUCCUUCAGACCGUAUGCAAUAUUGAUUUUAAAUACAGUUGGAAUCUCCAGAAUUGAAGUUUAGUGGCCCUGACAAAUUGGGGAGGAUUGACUACUUCAAUCACUUGAGGAAUGCAAAGUUUUGCCUAGCUCCACGUGGCGAGUCAUCGUGGACUCUUCGCUUUUAUGAAGCUUAUUUUGUGGUCUCUCUCUCUCUCUCUCUCUCUCUCUCUCUCUCUCUCUCUCUCAACCUAGCCAUUUCAGAGAAUUCACUUUCAUUUGUAUUUGUGCUGUAUAAAAUAGCUAUUUUGUGAGAGAAUUUAAUUUAUUUUUCUGAUUUUGCAAGAUUGUUCCACUUUUUUUGUUCUUGCAACUUUUUUUUUAAUGGACCAAUACACCUCUGACGGAAAACCUCUCAUUUAUCUGUCAGAAGGAAGGUUCAGAGUAUUUUAGUCAAUAAAGAAAGAUUUAGGUUCAAAAUUCCAGAAAUAAAAUAAGUGGAUUAAAGUUGCAAAAUCGAAAAAAUCUUGGAUUUUUUUUGCAUAAAAACCUAUUUUAUUUCUAGAAGCUACUAAAUUUGCAUUUUGAGCUCAAAACAACCUCCUAAUCAACCAUAGAUUUCUGCCAUGUGGAUGACAGGAAUGCGUGCCGGUCAUUCUGUCGGAUCAAGUUGAACUACCUUUCCAGAAUGUGAUCGACUACAGCCGAAUGACAAUUAAGUGGCCAUCAACUCGAAUAGGCCCCCAACUUCUCGAAUACCUCGAGUCAAUACCUGGUGAGUCUUCUCAUGUUUCCACCUAGGGAAUAUUUAGCCUGCUAGAGCAUGUGCAUAAGAGCUAUUUGAGUAAAACUGUUAAAGAAGUACCAAUAACUUCUAAUUGAAUCUCCUCAAGAAGUUCUUUAUGCAAUAGAAGCAAAAGUUUCAAUCCGAAGCUUUUGCUUUCGGAGCCUAAAAGCUCGUUUUAGCAUCCUGCAACUAUAGAAUCUCCAGACUUUAGCCAAGAGGCUUUGUGUUUCACCCAACUUAGCUUGCAUGUUUUAGAGUAGAGAAGCUUUUAUAGCAGCUAAGCCAUAAUGGGUUCAUGACUCCACUCUCUCUCUCUCUCUCUCUCUCCUGAUACCAUAAUUUUUACCAUGUCAGAUGAAGAAAUAGAGAAGAUGAUAGCUCGGGGCAGAGAGGUGAGAUGCUUAUGGGUUUACGCCCCAGAAACUGAGCCGUGCUCGGCUAUGGUAGGAAUACUGUGGGAACUGCAGAGAAAAGUCAGGAGAUUCCAUCAAUCCUCUGAAACAUUCUGGCUUCACAAUGGAUCGAUUAUCAACAGAGAUUUGGUCGAGUUUCACAAUUGGAGAACACCUGUGCCUUUGCCCUGAUAAAUUUUUUUACAGAGCUGUAGAUUCUCUUGGAUUAGAUAGAUUUCUCUUUGUUACCCUUUUUUGAAUGAUAUUUUUGUGCUUAAAAAGCUGUAUCUGUCCACAGCCUUCUUCUUUUUCAAAGCCCUGGCAUUUCUUUCUGAGGAUUUGGUUUAAUUAGCCUGCUGAGUUCAGAAUCUCCUUCUUGAAACAUGUUUCAAUCAGAGAAAAGAUAGAGCGCUUGGUGAUAGUUGUCGUGCUAGUACUGUAAUUUCUUCUUUUUUAAAAAAAUUUGAAAGAUUAUUAUAAAAUCUUAGCAAGUUUUGCCUCCUCUAGCUUAAGGUGAUGAAAUCGCUGAUGGAGCUACUCCGGAAAGAGUGCUUUCGUAUAUGAGUACUGUAACUUGUUUCCAUUUUUUUCAUCAGCCCAUGUCUCGCCGGCACUGUGCUUCUGGUUUUGUUUUUUUCAAUGCUUCAAUGUGUGUGUCUGUUUUCAUGUGGGCUCAUUUUCAUUGUAUGUUGUUGCUUUACAAUGCUUUUGUUAGUUUAUUAGUCUUGAUGCAUGCAGAAAGUAUCUUGCGAGUAAGAAUUUUAAGUGUCGUGAUACGGGAUCGUGCUAGAAGCUUAUCGAUAUUGUACGGCACGGUGUGUGCUAGUUAUGAAAAAUACAUGUGUGCCGACACAUAAUGGUAUAAGAGAUUUAUUUUAAGUAGUAAUAAAAUAUGUCAAUUAUUUAUUAUAUAUUUUUAUUAACUUUUUGAAUUUUAUUGAGAAAAUUAUUUAUUUAUUUAUAAAAUAAAGGAUUUUGAGUUGUGUCAUCGGCAUGUGAGUUAUAUUGUACUGAUAUCUGACAUGAUACGGUAAGAUGGAUGCGAUUCGUAACGAUAGAUAUUUAAAUCCUUACUUGCAAGUAUGCCUCCAGAUUUGUUCGUGCAAGUAAAAGUGAAGAUGUGCUCAUUUUUGAAAACGAGGAUUGAUCUACUCGUCGUCUUCCUUAAAUAGGAAGAAAAUGAAAUGCGAGGAAACUUAAAAAGAAAAAAAAUUGUAUUUAUCGGUUAAAAAAUGUUGGUGACGAUAGUUUAAAUUUUCAAAAACAUAGUUUAUCGUUUACGAGUCCAAAAAUAAAUAUCAACAGUAUUCCUGAGUCGAACGAGGGACUUAAUUUGAAAACAAAAGAAGAAUACUUGAGGCCUACGUUUUGAUAAAUUCUCGUUGCGUGUGAUGACGUGGCAAACCACUAAACCCAUCUCGACCAAUAGGAAUUCCCUUCAAGGGAAGUGGGCCCCACGGGUUCGUCAUCUUCAAUCCGCACCGUCCAUCGCCACUCCGUCAAAACACCUCCAAUCCCAACCGUCCAUUCUCUCUCCUCCCGUCCCCGACUCCCGAAUAAAACGCGAAACCCCCUCCAAACCCUCGUCUCUCUCCGCCCCCUCCUCCCCCACCUUUCUCUCUUUCUCUCUCUCUCUCGAUCAACAAUGGCGGAGGGAGCCGAAGCCGCGGCGGAGGCCAUCGCCUCUCUCUCCACCUCCGACGCCCCAAGCAAGAAGUAAACCCUCUGUUUCCUCUCUCUACUGCGCCUUAUCUCUCUCUCUCUCUCACACUCUCUCUCUAACGCACUUUCUCUCUCUUUUUCCCGUCGUUUCUAGCGCCCUCAAGAAGGAGCUGAAGAAGAAGCAGAAGGAGGAGGAGAAGAGGAAGAAGGAAGAGGAGAACAUGAAAAAGAAGGUCCCUUUCUAACCCUACGCAUCUUUUCUCCCCAUUAAAGAUGUCACCUUUUGCUGCUCAAUUUCGUGUGGAUUUGGACCGAAAUUCGUUGUAUCCUGUCUCUUCAGGCUGCCGAGGCGGCGAACCCGCAGUCUCAGAAGGCGUUGGCGGCCGCCGAUGACGAAGAUAUGGACCCUACGGUUUGUUCUUCGAACCUAUAUUCUGUAUAGGUGAAAUGGUAGAAACCUUAUUUGAACUAUAGCGCAUUUUGAGAUUGGUGUUUGAACAUUUAAGAACUUUUAUUUUACCAAAUGUCCCAACUUGUUAUUGACUUUUCUACUGAGUAUUCAGUUCAGGUAUCUAUUUCACAAAUCAUAUUAGCUUAUCUGUUAGAAGAAAACCUCUCAGUUAUAAUUGUGUUGGUGAUUUUGAUCCCUGAGGUAGUGCCAGGGAUAGCCAUGGGAAUAGCACAAUUCCACCAUGCGGCAUGGAAUUGAUAUCCCAAGGGAUAAACUUGCUAUUGGGUUAUCUCUCGCCAAACAAUUUAGUGUUUGGGGAUGCUAUCCCCGCCCUGUUCGCCAACCAAACACUUCCUUGAGGUUCAGGUACCCAUUUCAAAAAUGCUUUAUAUUUAAGGUAAGGUAUGUACGUGGGUAAAUUGAGAUGCAUAUAAUCUGUUUGAUAAAAUGCCUCUGAUUGUCAUUGGUGGUGGCAGCAAUACUAUAACAAUAGGCUCAAGGUGCUUAGUUCUUCGAAGGAGGUCGGUGUUAACCCGUACCCGCAUAAGUUUCAAGUGUCCAUGACAAUUGUGGAAUAUGUGGAGAAGUAUGGAAGUUUGAGUGAUGGGGAGCACCUUAAGGAAGUUGAAGUUAGUUUAGCAGGUAGAGAUGCAGUGUUUCAUGGAAUGUUUUCUCAAAUGAAGAUGGUGCUUCUUUGCAUGCUUUUCUUUUUACUGUUUUCGAUGGUAAAAUCUUUUUUUUUUUUUUUCAAAAUCUCUUGUAGGGAGGAUUAUGAACAAGAGAGCUUCUUCGUUAAAGCUUUUCUUUUAUGACUUACAUGGCAGCGGGGCUAAAGUUCAAGUGAUGGCAGAUGCCAGGUAUCAAUCACUUACUUGGGCCAUCUUUCUGUGGCAUCUUUUCUUGAUGAAUUUAUGAAAUGUUAUUCUCUUCAUUACAGCACUAGUAUUGUUAGAUCAGAGCUGUCCUUCUAAGGAUUGCAGUAGUUUGAAUUGAUUGGGCAGGCUUUCUCCUUUUACAAGCUGGUUUCAACACUUAUCAAAUGGCAAAACUUAUAACCUUUUGUAUUAAUACAAACCUUUUUAGCAUGUAUCAAUUUUUUAAAGAGGGUAGGGUGCAUACGUAAAACCAAAAGGUGAACAGAAUAAAUGUCAUAAUUGCUUCUAAUUCCUUGUCAAAUGAUAUCAAGAAAGCAAUCUACUGGACAAUAUUAUUAUUUGUUUUAUAAAAUAUUUUACUUGGUAUCUUUUCAAAAUUUUUAUUAGGGACUCUGACAUGGAUGAAAAUGAAUUCUCCAAAUACCAUGCUGGUGUCAAACGUGGUGAUAUUGUUGGCAUCACUGGCUAUCCAGGUUAGUUAAUUAGCGUCAACAUUCUUGCAGUAAUUUUAAGCUUCUUUUCUCGAUUGACAUUUUACCCCUUCAUACUUCACUGAUGGUGUCAUCUAAUCAGUCUGCUUGUUAGUCUGUUUUUGUUAUUAUGAGAACAUAACAUCUUGAUCUGUCCUUGUGAUUUGUCAUGCUGAAGUAAAGAGGCAUAAAUUUGUCCAGUGAGACAGUAGAAUAAAAUGUUUCUGGGUUGACAAAAUUUAUUUAUAUCUGAUUCAGGAUGCUUUAAGUAGUAAUUCAUGUUUGCAGGUGCAUUAUUGUUAAGUUGCUGUUUCUGUGCUACAGGUAAGAGUAAGAGAGGAGAACUCAGUAUUUUCCCCAAGAAGUUUAUUGUCUUAUCGCCUUGUCUUCACAUGAUGCCAAGGCAAAAGGCUGGCCCUAGUGUUGCUAAUGCUUCCGCAAAGGUGAGCAUAUGAGCAAAGAAAUAAAAUCACGUUGUGGCUUUGAUCCAUGCUGAAAAUAGUUGAUCUCCUGCUCUUAUUUCCUUAAAUUGCACUUUGACCGCAGAAAAAUGAAGAAAGACCAACACCUUAUGUGUGGGUUCCAGGAAUGACUAGGAAUCCUGAGACAUAUGUUUUAAAAGAUCAGGUAUAUGACUCAACUUUAUGAGUACAAUUACAAACUGAAAUGAGUAUAGUCUAUAUAGGUUUAAAUUAUUUAUAAUUUGAGUACAAAUGUUUAGAUUAUUCAUAAUUUUGUUUUUCAAAUGUUGGUUAAAUGUCACUCUCCUGUUGCUCUUGACUGCAGUAUUACUGUUUCUAAUUGCAUUGAACACUGGUGCUCUUACACUAUUCGACUGUAUUUCAUACCAAGUCUUCAUGUGUCCUAUAUGCUUGUCGAUGACUUUUCCUUCCUCUACUUCAAUUAUUACUUUGGGCUUCUACAUAUAUGGAUAAAAAUACUACAUCAACUUGAGAUUUUACUAGCUGAUCGAAAUACACAGCAAUAAAAAAGAAGUUAUAGUAACUGAGGAUUGAAUUGAAGCAUAGUUGGUGUUCAGCCGUAGAUUGCUACUGGUUCUAACUGACUUUGAUCCAUGGAUAAAACUUAAUUAUGGUU